AUGAAGUCAGAUCUGGGCGAUUUUUUGGAAUAACUGAACUUGGAAGAGGAAGAAUUCGAUGACUUGGUUAUUGAUGAGGAUGAUCCUGAGAUCAACGAAAGUGUUAGAUGGCUUGCCCUAGCUAGGGUUCAUACGGACAAGUCCUUCAGCCAAACAACUUUCUAUAGGGAGAUGCGCGCGGAGUGGAACACAGCCCAGCCGGUUAGGUUUCGAUUGGUUGGACCGAAUCUGUUCGUCAUGCAAGCCUCAUGCCUAGGAGAUUGGGAGUGCAUGCUUGAUUAA
rnacentral:rRNA from 1 species